UUUUUUUUUUUUUUCUCCUGUCUUUUUAGGGCUGCACCUCCUGGGAACCUCCAUAUGCCACAGAUGCAGCCCUAAAAAGAAAAAAAAAAUUUAAAAAGCAUAUGAAAACAUGGUUAAUACUUUAAAGGGAAGUAUUUACAUUUUUGUUGUUGAUAAUGAUGUUUUUCCAAUUGACUGGCAGAUUUUUACUGAUUUCAGUAUGAAAAAACACUUGAUGGUGGAUGCUUUUCACUAGCCGCUUAAAAUCUGCAGUUAUGAUGUGACUUGUGUGAGUGUUUCCCAUUUAUGUAGGUAGUCAACUAUCAGAAGACAAAAUAUCGUGACUUUUCUGUGGUGAAAAUGAGGGAGACAGUUUUAAUCAAAAUAUUUUGAAAUGAAUCCAGCUUAUCUAUCUGGACCCCUCUGAAAACUUAGUGUCUUCUUAGAAAUUGAGACCUAUCACUUUAGCUCUUCAGGUAGCCAGUUCUAGUGGCAAAAAGAGCAGAGAUAUCUGUUCUGUUUUGCUGAUGGACUGUAGAUCUGCCUGAAAGCUCUGAAAGUCAGUGGCUGAAAUAGCCGAGCCUCUUACUAUGCACUUUGGCUAUGGUAGCUGAAGUUAAUUCCUUUCUCCGUGGCUUUUCAGUAUAUAUAUAUUUUUCAAAUAUUGAUUAUUUCCAUCUAGAAUUGCUUAAAUAGCAACAACAACAGUGGCGUUCUCUUUUGGCACAGUGGGUUAAGGAUCUGAUGUUGUCCCUGCAGGGGCUCAGGCUGCUGCCAUGGGGUGGGUUUAGUCUGGCCUGGGAACUUCCGGAUAUCUCAGGUACAGCCAAAAAUAAAUAAAGUGUACAAUUCAAAUAGCUUUACUUUUUAAAGGGCCACACCUGUGGCAUAUGGAAGUUCACAGGCUAGAGGUCAUGUUGGAGCUGCAUCUGAGGCCUACACCACAGCCACAGCAACGCUGUGGGAUCCUUAACCCACUGAGCAAGGCCAGAGAUCAAACCCACAUCCUCAUGGAUACUGGGCAGGUUUGUAACCCACUGAACCACAAUGAGAACCCCUCAAGUGGUUUGAAAAACAACAACAACGACAACUCCUUUAUAGUUUUUUGUUUGUUUGUUCGUUUGGCUACACCCAUGGCCUGUGGAAAUUCCUGGACCAGGGAACAAACCUGAGCCACAGCAGUGAUAAUGCCGGGUCCUUAACCCACUGAGCCGCUAGGGAACUCCUCCUUUAUGUUUGAAUCAUUAACUUAAAAUAUGUUUAGCACCUUUUUCAUGCAGAUGCCAUCAUGGCCACGUUAAUCAGUGAGAAAAAGGUGGCCACUAACAGUGACGCUCUCCUUGGUCCUAAUUUCUGCCUACUCUCCUCUGCCUUUGUCUUUCCCCUGUAGACACACCAGCAGUAAUUCUCCCACUCCAGAUUUCUGUGGCUCCCUGAAUAAUAGGUCCUGAGCCAGGGACUGGCUCAUGUAAGACAGAGGGCUUAGCAAAUGCGUGUCUUAUGUAUCUCAGUGUGGAACUUCAAGAAUCAGAGGCAUCUUGGAGUUGCUGUUGUGGCGCAGUGGAAAUGAAUCCGACUAGGAACCAUGAGGUUGCGGGUUCAAUCCCCGGCCUCACUCAGUGGGUUAAGGAUCCUUCGUUACCGUGAGCUAUGGUAUAGGUUGCAGACGUGGCUUGGAUCUCAUGUUGCUGUGGCUCUGGUGUAGGCCGGCGACUACAGCUCCAAUUGGACCCCUGGCCUGGGAACCUCCACAUGCAGUGGGUGAGGCCUUAAAAAGCAAAAAAAAAAAAAAAAAAAAAGAAUUGAGGCAUCUCUGUACAUGUUUUAGGACAUUAAUAGAGCCCCCAGGGGUAGUGUGAGCUGCACCCUGAGCCCUGUGGGGCUUCAGUCACGAAGCUGGAGCUGUUUCUCAUUUGGCAAGGGGGCUGUCCUCAUUACCUUUUGCUCUCUGUUGAGGUCUAGAUUUGGAUCAGGGCUCCUUUGAGAUGUUAAUGAGAGCAAACUAUUGAGUCAGUUAAAACCACUUAUAUAUGUGCGUUGGGGGAGAGUAUAGGUUCUUAUUUGCUUGGCUAACGGGUCCUUUCAAGGUCCAGACAUUCAAAUGAUAGCCAAGAGCAAACAUGUUUCAAGAAAAUUGGCUUCUUGUAAUUAAAGUGAUUAAAACAAAUAUUAAGCAUUGACAAACAGCCAACAUUUUUUCUUCUUACCUUUUUAAUGAGGUGAAUGUAUGUAGAGUACACAAGUUUUGAGUGUACAGCUCAGUGGAGUUUUACAUAUGAAUAUACCCAUAUAAUCACCAUGCAGAUCAAGAUUUGGAAUAUAUGGAGGAGUUCCUGUCGUGGUGCAGCAGAAACAAACCCAACUAGGAACCUUGAGGUUGCGGGUUCCCUGGCCUCGCUCAGUGGGUUAAGGAUCCGGUGUUGCUGUGAGCUAUGGUGUAGGCCAGCAGCUACAGCUCCAGUUGGACCCCUAGCCUGGGAACCUCCAUAUACUGCGGGUACAGCCCCCCAAAAAAGGCAAAAAAAAAUUUAGAACAUGUUUAGCACCAAAGAGAGUCCCUCUGUCAAACAACCAACUUUUAACCUUAAAAAAGGAGCUAACUCUAGAGCUUCCAUUGUGCCUCAGGGGGUUAAGGACCUGGUGUUGUCUCCAUGAGAACGUGGGUUCGAUCCCUGGCUUGCUUAGUGGGUUAAGGAUUUGGCGUUGCUGAGAGCUGCGGCAUAGUUGUAGAUGUGGCUCGAAUCUGGCAUUACCGUGGCUGUGGUGUAGGCUGCAGCUGUAGUUCCAAUUCAGCCCCUAGCCUGAGAACUUCCAUAUGCCACAGGUGUGGCCAUAAGAAAAAGAGCUAUCUCUAAUUUAAAAAUGCAAUUUUUAUAUUCCCUAGAACUUAGUUACUUGUUUUUAAAUGAAUUUUUAAUUCACUAAAUGGUAUUAUUAUUAUUGAGUGAUAUCAUUGACAGCUUUACACUGCCUUAGGGUCUGUGAGCGAAUAGAGCAUAGCCCCUAUUUUCAUGGGUUUACCCUAUUCCACUGGGGUGCUGUUCAGAACAGGCCAUCAGCGCUGCAAAUCAGGAUAUGAUCAAAUGCCAUAUCCAGUCAAUGCUCAAACACACCUUGACAGCAGGACUGUGUCCUCAGCUACAUUGUCAAGUGCAUUGUGAUUGUCCCCGGCAUCUUUUCACUUUUCCUUUAGCACUGUAAUGUCAUCGUCAGCUUUGUCCUUUCUAGCACAACGUUCUGUGCCAACCCAUCUGGCUGAUGGGAGCACUGUGACUCCAGACCCUUCUCUCUAAAAGCUCUGUCUUUCUCCUCUACAUUGUCAGGCUUGAUGCCCCCAGAUCUGACUUAUGAGUCAGGUAAAUUGGGUUUUGUAUUAAGAUUUGAUAAUGGCUCAUACAUGUUGCCUCUUCCAAGAAAUGUCUUUCUUUUAAAAAUGGCUUAUAGGAGAUAUAGUGUCUUAGCUCAAAGGAAUUAGCUUUGAUGCUUAGAUUUUUGAUAUUUUCAGGCUAAUGGAGAAGUUUGAGAAGUUUGCUUUGUAAAUAUCACAUUUAGGAAUCUAUCCAGGGAGUUCCCAUAGUGGCACAGCAGAAAUGAAUCCAACUAGGAACCAUGAGGUUGCGGGUUGAUCCCUGGCCUCACUCAGUGGGUUAAGGAUCUGGCAUUGCCACGAGCUGUGGUGUAGGUCGCAGAUGUGGCUUGGAUCUGGCAUUGCUGUGGCUGUGGUGUAGGCUGGCAGCUGUAGCUCUGAUUCGACCCCUAGCCUGGGAACCUCCAUAUGCCACGGUGGGAUCCUAAAAAGCAAAGAAAAAAGGGAAGCCGUCCAUUCGACCUACACAGGAAGUAGCUCUGGCAAGGGAAUGACUGAAAAAAUAAGGCAGCAGUUUCAAAUUAUUCCCAUUCAAGGAUGAAUUGCCACAUUAGAUAUCCAUUAGUUUGGACCACUUAUUCUAAAUGGAUUGGAAUAGACUAGAAGGAGUAGGAUCUCAGAUGUAGUGAAAUUGUACCCUUGUCCAUAAAAUGCCAUUUUACAUAUAACAUACAUAAAAAAGUAUAGACUUUUCUCUAUACUCAUCAUAAAAUUAAAAGACUUACAAGUCUCUUUGUUUUUCACAGUUAGUAUAGUUCGUGGUGUGGAAAUCCAAAUGUUUCUUUAAUGUUGACUUAAAACAUGGGAUAUUGAUAAGCAUUCUGGUCCACCAUCAGAACCUACAUUGUACCCAUCUGAUCAGAAUUUUUACAUACGCCAUCAGGAUACCUCUGGAUUUCAAAAACCAGUGUUUGAAUGGGGAGAUAUGGUGAAAAUUACAUCCACUUUAUUUUUCUUUCAUUUGUUAUGACUAAAACCUAUGCACAUACCUGAGUUACUUUAGGAAACAUAGUAAACGAUAAUUUUCCUAGUAUAGGUUUUGCACAUCUUUUCUAUCUAGAUACGUUUAUUGGCUACUUUUUUUUGGAAGUGACUUAAUGUGGGAUCUCAGUCCCCAGAGGAUUGAACCCAGGCCACAGGGGUGAAAGCACCAAGUCCUAACCACUAGAUCACCAGGGAGCUCCCAAUACUUCAUAUUUUUGAUUAUAUAAUCAAGGAUGUCUUUUAAAUUUCAUUUCUAACUCUUUGUGCUGCUGUACUGAAAUGCAAUUUAUUUUUCCAUACUGAAUUUUUUAUCUAGCAACUUUGUUAAACUCUGAUGAAUUCUAGUAUUUUAUCAGUGCUUCCUUUUAGAUUUCCUAUAUAUAUAAAAUCAUCCAUCAAUAAAUGAUGACAUAUUAUUUCUUUUUUUUCUAAUCCCUUAAUUUUUAUUCUUUUUCUUGCCUUACUGCUUAGGCUCAGCUCUUGAGUACAGUGUGAGAUGCGUGGUGGGCAUCUUUAUUUUAUUUCUGAUCCUGAGGGGAAAACUUUGAUCAUUUCACUGAUAGAUGUGGUGCCUGUUGGAAGGUUUUUGUCAGUACUCUUCUUCAGAUUAAAGAAAUUGGCUCCUGUUCUCACUUGUUAAGUGUUUUUAUCCUGAUGGGAUGGCAAGGCUUUUUUUUUUUUUUUUUCAUUUUUAUUGGGGCAUGGUUGAUUUACAAGGUUGCCACAAUUUCUGCUGUACAAUGAAGUGAUUCAAUGAUACAUGGACACACACCCAUGUUUAUCACCACUUUGUCCGUCUGUCCCACUGUCUCUUUCAUGGGAAGUUGGCAGUACUGACCCAGGCACAUGAAAAUGUUGUAGAUUGUUUAUCGCCUGGGAUGGGCAGAUCCUUUCACUCACUUUCAUGGCUAAUUGGCGAUGGAAGAAUUGAUGUUUACAGUUGCCUGACACCUCCUUUCUGUGCUUGGUUCUGCGUAGGGCCUGGCUUGUUAUCCUCACAGUACAUUUUGGGUUUUUGUUUUGUCACUGCCACCCCUGUCAAGCCAGAGUCUUUUCAGUGGAAACAAUCUGUGCUCCAGCCCUGUAUUUUGCCUUUAGCGCUAAGAGGAUCGAGUGUUUGCAUUGAAUCAGAGGAAAGUGGAGGAAGAGAGCAGAGAAGGGUGAGUGGUGAAUAGCGCCCUCAUCCUUCAGAGGGUGGCAUGCCACUGUACACAGAUUCUGGGCAAAGUCGAGUUCCCUGGGGUCUCCUGGCCGUUAGGGCAUUGGCCUCACGCACCCCCCUCCCUGAGAGCCAUUGUCUUCCCCUCCCUAGAUUGAGGUUGGCACUAACGUCUCCUCAAGGGCUGUUGUAGCUCCCAGACUGUGAAUCUUUGAGGGGUUGUCUGUCCUCAUCUUUUUUCUCAUUAUUCCUACAACUCCAAAGGGGUCAAGAAUUUUAAUAUUAUAUUUUCAGAUGGGAAACUCCCUUACAGAGAUCAAGUGUUGGCUUCCAAUCGUAAGGGGAACAGAGCACCAUGUUUACUUAUUUAUUAUUUCAAAUUUUAAAAGUAUAGUUAUUUUACAGUGUUGUGCCAAUUUCUACUAUACAGCAAAGUGACCCAGGCAUAUAUGUAUAUACAUUCCCUUUCUUAUAUUAAUUUCCAUUAUGUUCUAUCCGAAGAGGCUGGAUAUAGUUCCCCGUGCUAUACAGUAGGAUUUCAUUGUUUAUCCAUUCUAAAUGGAAUGGUUUGCAUCUACUAACCCUAAACUCCCACUCCCUCCCACUCCCCUUGGCAACCACAAGUCUGUUCCUAUGUCUGUGAGUCUGCUUCCAUUCUGUAAUAGGUUCAUCUGUGCCAUAAUUUAGAUUACACAUAUAAGUGAUACAUGAUAUUUGCCUUUCUCUCUCUGACUUACUUCACUUAGUGUGAGACUCUCUAGUGGCAUCCAUGUUGCUGCAAAUGGCAUUGUUUCAUCCUUUUUUACAACUGAGUAGUAUUCCAUUGUGUAUAUGUACAUCUUCCUAAUCCACUCAUCUGUUGAUGGACAUUUAGGUUGCCUCCAUGUUUUAGCUAUUGUGAAUGAUGCCAAAGCACCAUAUUUAGAUUUGUCCUGCAAAUGGAAAUUGGUUAUAUUUAAAUUACACUUAUUUAAAAUGCAAAUGCCUCAGAAAUUUAUUUACUUUGAAACAAAACCUUUUUUUGAUAGCUGUCAAAUUUCUUGUGCCAGGCUUUUCAUAGUGCCCCACACAUACUAAUGAUCAAUUAAGUGUGUAUUAGUUUUUCUGUGACCAUUGUGACAAAUGUUAUAAAACGACCACAGACUAGGAG
rnacentral:lncRNA from 9 species